UCCACACACAUUAUUAUUCCCUUCCCUUCUCUCCCUCUUUUUUUCCGUUUCUCUGUGAGACAUCCUUCCUCCCCUCUUUCUCCCUAAUCGCAAUCCCUCUUCUUUCUUUCUCUAUCCACUGCACACGGCGGCGCAACACCCGUCCUCUCCUUCCCAUCUAUAUUCUCCGCCCCUCGUUCUCCCAACCAACACCGCCUCCUCCCUCUUCCUAACACCAUCCAUAACCACAUCUAUAUUUCUCUCUCUUCCAUCCAUUUUUGUUUUAAAUUUUUAAUUAUUAUUCUUAUUUUCCUUUUUCUAUUUUCUUCACGUCACUUUCUUAUCCUCUAAUUUCUUCGUUCUUUAAUUAUUUUCCUUAGUGACUUCUUUCGUUGUGGACCCCGCUUUUCCAUUAUAUUUUCAUUUUCGGUUCGAACAACGAAAGAAUGUAGGGGAAUUUAUCGGUUUUACUUCUUUGCCCCUCUCUAAACCCCACGAAGAAGAGAACGUCGCGUCCAAGAGUAUUUUAGUUGUGUUGUUUUUACGUGGCAUAAUCUAAGGCCAUGAUGAUGAGUCAUUACCAUCACCGCAGGAUGCUGCCACCUGGCAACACCAGAAAGCGCAAGCUCGCAGACGAAGCUGACAAGCCGAUUGAGCCGAAAAACACUAAUCGGCUCCUAGCUGGAUACCUGGCUCACGAGUUCUUAACCAGAGGGACCUUGUUUGGGCAGAAGUACGAGCCUGAAUCGGGUGAGAUCUCGGCUGUUGUGGACCCGAAGAAGAGCCAGCCGAAGCAGUUGGUGCAAGCCGCGGAGCCGAGCCGAGACCUGGUGAGGAAGAAGGUGCAGAAGGAGCAGGAUAGUUACGGUGAGGUUGCGAGCAUAAUGAAGACGGAUGGGAUCCACAUAAAGGGAAUCGUGAACCCCACGCAGCUCUCACGAUGGAUCCACAUGUGAGAUUCUUCAUUCUUGGGUUCGCGCGUCGGCUUCGUGGUGACGUAGCGGAUUUUGAUUGGAUGGUUGUGUAUGGAGAAAGAAACGUCUUGGUUUUUAAGGUAUCGUCACUCGCGGCGAGCGCGUGAGUCAUUUGCGGUUAACUGCUGCUGCAUAGUGCACAAGAGUGUGGUAUCAAGUGUGAAGAAUUUGGACGGUGUAACAGGAAGAAACACGAUCGGACAGUCCAAUUUGCUCGGACAACACAGACAGUCUGAGUUGUGCGUUAACAGUCACAUAUCGCACAGGAUAAGCUCGCCAGAACGGUACCUCUGAAACCAACAGUUCACGAAUGUUGACAUAUAUAUGACCACCCACUGCCUUCGAAUCGGUACCAUUUACAGUUUAUCGGUUUUUAUCAUCCUUCUCAGAUUAAAAUAGUUCAAUGUUAGAAAGCACUGGUAAAUGCUUUAAUCGAAAGGUGACACCCAGACACACACACCUUUCACCUUCCGAUUGGUGAGUGUGCAGUGACAUUGGAGGAUGUAGCCGUUAUUCUUGGUCUCCCGACGAAUGGUCUUCCAGUGACAGGAAUCACGUUGAGCAGUUUCGAAGCCUUAGAGGGUGAGUAUUUUCACCAGUUUGGGGUUGCACCGACCAAGUCCGACUGUAGAGGAAGCUGCAUAAAAUUGACGUGGCUUUGGGAUUUAAAAGAACGUUUACAGUUGAUUGACGAAAAUAGUAUUCAGAGGUACGUGAAGUGACACAUUAUAUUGUAAUUGGGUACGAUCUUGCUUGGAGACAAGUCUGGGGCAUCUGUGCACUGGAAGUUUCUGCCUUUGCUCCGUGAUUUUGGUAGUAUCGGACAGUAUAGUUGGGGAUCGGCAUGUCUAGUGCACCUGUACAGGUCGUUAUGCAGGGCAUCUUGUUUUAACUUUAAGAAAAUCGAUGGUCCACUAACACUUCUGCUAGCUUGGGCUUGGAUCCGGCUACCAUAUCUUGUGCCGGUUCCUAGGAAACUCCGCAGUUUUUUGCUAGCAAACAGGUGGCAUAACUGGGAGCGUGGCGACCGACGCUAUAGAUAUCUUAGUCUCGCUCACUUUAGAAAGUCAUUAGAUGAGCUUCAGGAAGGCCAGUUUGUGUGGGUUGCUUAUGGUGUUGACCGCAUUGAUCCAGACAUAAUCCCAAAAGACAUCAACAUGCACUCAGUUGUGUGUAGCGCUACGGUCCCGUUAAUAUCAUUUGAAUGCAUUAAGUGGCAUGUAACCGAUAGGUUUAGGCGACAGUUUGGUUUUAUUCAUGGAAUUCCUCAUCAGGUACGGAUCUAGACAAGGCACACGGAAAAACACUGACUGGUCCUAAGAAUCUUGACUGGGCCACAGUCACGUCCCAUUUAUUUUGGGUGAUGCAGUGGACAAGCAGGUAUAAUCACAUUCUUACUGAACUUUCGGUGCCUCCACAACAUCCCUUGGAUAUUUACAUGCAUUGGUACCGUACAAAUCGAGGCCCGUUGUACACAGGCCAUGUAGUAGGAUUCUCCAGUGGCCUAAACCUAGCUCGGUAAACCCUCCGAACUUGGUCCAUCUUGUAAAUAUCGUGAACAUACACUCGCCAAUCCAGUCGCUUAUUUGCACAACAUGCAAACACAUGUCGACAAGGAAUCCGAUCCACCUGGAACUUACCACAGUCACACCGUUGUCGACGAAGGUCGACGGCAUACUCCGUUCCACUUAGCAUCUCACGCACUUCAAAGACCUCAUUCAUCCUGUCGAAGCAAUUAACCUGGAUAUUUCCUGAUGUAAGUUGAUUUGCAUGCAAUUUCGAGGUCACAACCUCAGAAAAACAUGUCCAGAUGUUAUCUGCGACUCUGCCUUGGCUCUUUUUCUAGUGAACAACUCAUUAAGCCUGUAGAAUGUUGCUUUGACAAGUGUGGUGAUAGGGAGAUUGCGUGCAUCCUUCAAGACUGAGUUGAUGCAUUCCACUAGGUUUGUGGUCAUGUGACCCCAUCGGUAGCCACCAUCGAAUGCCAAUGCAUAAUGUUCGCGGGAGAUUCGGUUUAACCAGUUAGUGUAAGCUUUGUCCCGCUCUCGUAAAUGCUAGUAGCGUAGUUCGUACUCGCGAACCGUCCUCGAAUAUCCUGCACAAUAAGCAAAAACAAACAAGAAAAGAAUAUAUGAGAAACACUGCUUGAAGGUAACUCUGUCGAAUUUCAAAUUACUAAAUUUUACCUAUGUUGACGACAAGUUUUUGCAGGUACGGUGCCUUGAACUUUCUCAAAAAAUUCGACUCUAUAUGCCGAUGCAAAACAUGUGGAAAGCUCUCGGAGGCGACCAAGCUCCGUUACUCCGGGCCACAGCUGAAUUGAUGGAUUCGUGUCGGUCGGAAAUCAGUCCCACAGCAUCCCGAGUCACAACAUGUUGUUGCAGGUUACUAAGAAAAAAAGUGCCAUGCAUCAGAAGUCUCUCCCUCCACAAUAGCAAACGCAAUCGGGACGAUAUUAUUGUUACCAUUCUGUGACACUGCAACCAACAGACAACCCUUAUACUUUUCGUAUAAGUGAGUCCCAUCAACCUGGACAACUGGUUUACAAUAUCUGAACGCUCUAAUGCAGGGGUAAUAACUCCAGAAGACUCGAUGCAAUACCUGGAUAUCAGUUACCAAGUCAUUGCCUUGAUAUGCAGGCAUAGUCUCAAAAUGGACGACUGCUGAUGGCUCCUUGUAACACAUGGCCUCACACCAUAUGGGCAAAGCUUCAUAUGAUGCUUUCGUACCUCCAAAUAUUUUUUUUUCACUGAUUUUUGCUUAGUCAACCAUGCUUUCCGAUAGCUGAUGGAGUAAUUGAACUUCGACUGCAUUUUCGCAAUAACUGAUUUCACCUUUAUCAAAGGGUUAGCCUCAACCAACGGCUUUAUUGCUUUUGCAAUUGUGUUCGAAUCCAGCUUCGAAUGAUCCUGAGAAAUGGUGGCUCUAGUAUAAGUGUGACUACUGUUGUACCUCCUUAUAACCCAAGAGUACUUUCUGCUGAUCAUGCUAACCCUGAUAAGCCAAUCACACCCUGAUCCAUACUGUGUACACUUGGCAUAAAAUGUCAAAGGCUCCGACUCAUACACCUGGUAGUCUACGCCUCUUCGAAUGAUAUAAUAUUUCAUCGCCAUAAUAAAUGCUUUCCUGAAACUGAAUUCUAUUCUGACUGCAAAUUUACCAUCUGCGACCAUAGGAAU